rnacentral:rRNA from 1 species
UGGCGUAUGCCGUCGUCACCUGCCAGUCGAGCGGACAGAAGGGAGCUUGCUCCCGGAUGUUAGCGGCGGACGGGUGAGUAACACGUGGGUAACCUGCCUGUAAGACUGGGAUAACUCCGGGAAACCGGAGCUAAUACCGGAUAGUUCCUUGAACCGCAUGGUUCAAGGAUGAAAGACGGUUUCGGCUGUCACUUACAGAUGGACCCGCGGCGCAUUAGCUAGUUGGUGAGGUAACGGCUCACCAAGGCGACGAUGCGUAGCCGACCUGAGAGGGUGAUCGGCCACACUGGGACUGAGACACGGCCCAGACUCCUACGGGAGGCAGCAGUAGGGAAUCUUCCGCAAUGGACGAAAGUCUGACGGAGCAACGCCGCGUGAGUGAUGAAGGUUUUCGGAUCGUAAAGCUCUGUUGUUAGGGAAGAACAAGUGCAAGAGUAACUGCUUGCACCUUGACGGUACCUAACCAGAAAGCCACGGCUAACUACGUGCCAGCAGCCGCGGUAAUACGUAGGUGGCAAGCGUUGUCCGGAAUUAUUGGGCGUAAAGGGCUCGCAGGCGGUUUCUUAAGUCUGAUGUGAAAGCCCCCGGCUCAACCGGGGAGGGUCAUUGGAAACUGGGAAACUUGA